rnacentral:tRNA from 1 species
ACUUAUAUAGUAUAUAUAUAUUAUUUGUGACUUCCAAUUACAAGAACUAAAUUUUUAGUAUAAGUA